UAUGCAUCAGGACUGGGCUAGCCACUGCCUCCGUUUUCUCUGGGCUCCUGAGAUAACCUCCACCUGCCUCUAGAUUCUGUGCCAGCUGAUCGUAUCUAUCUCAUCAACUCUUGUUCCAUCAGGAAACUGCAUCUUGAGACCCAGACACAUGCAAAUGGCCUUCUGAGUUCAUUCUUGAUGGAGAGGAGCUGGAAGAAUCCACUAAGGACAAAUUGCCCUGUGGAUUUAGUAAGAGAUCUGUAUAUAAUGGAGCCCCCUGAGGCUGGCUUGUUAAAGUAGUAUCUUCUGCUUCCCUGACAGCAAAUUCGUGUGCACUGUUUACUGGGAAAUAAUUAUGGUUUUCGGCACUGGCAAAUGGAGUCCUAUUUCUAAUGGGAGACAGUGGUUGGCAAACAUGAAACCCUGAGUUUCCCUCUGAGUCUGAGCUGUGAACUGAAGUCGAUGACAUUGACAAGUCUAAUGGAAUAUCAUCUCUCAGAGCAGAAUGCAUGAAUGAUGCAGGAGGGUUAUAGGAUGAAUUCACUGAUGAUCUUGGAGAUAUUGGUCUGCCAGAAAUAAAGUAGUCAAGAGAAUUUUGAGAACUGU
rnacentral:antisense_RNA from 1 species